ASGGSGKCCYWWWMMUGCWGUCGAACGCUUCUUUCCUCCCGAGUGCUUGCACUCAAUUGGAAAGAGGAGUGGCGGACGGGUGAGUAACACGUGGGUAACCUACCCAUCAGAGGGGGAUAACACUUGGAAACAGGUGCUAAUACCGCAUAACAGUUUAUGCCGCAUGGCAUAAGAGUGAAAGGCGCUUUCGGGUGUCGCUGAUGGAUGGACCCGCGGUGCAUUAGCUAGUUGGUGAGGUAACGGCUCACCAAGGCCACGAUGCAUAGCCGACCUGAGAGGGUGAUCGGCCACACUGGGACUGAGACACGGCCCAGACUCCUACGGGAGGCAGCAGUAGGGAAUCUUCGGCAAUGGACGAAAGUCUGACCGAGCAACGCCGCGUGAGUGAAGAAGGUUUUCGGAUCGUAAAACUCUGUUGUUAGAGAAGAACAAGGACGUUAGUAACUGAACGUCCCCUGACGGUAUCUAACCAGAAAGCCACGGCUAACUACGUGCCAGCAGCCGCGGUAAUACGUAGGUGGCAAGCGUUGUCCGGAUUUAUUGGGCGUAAAGCGAGCGCAGGCGGUUUCUUAAKUCUGAUGUGAAAGCCCCCGGCUCAACCGGGGAGGGUCAUUGGAAACUGGGAGACUUGAGUGCAGAAGAGGAGAGUGGAAUUCCAUGUGUAGCGGUGAAAUGCGUAKAUAUAUGGAGGAACACCAKUGGCGAAGGCGGCUCUCUGGUCUGUAACUGACGCUGAGGCUCGAAAGCGUGGGGAGCAAACAGGAUUAKAUACCCUGGUAGUCCACGCCGUAAACGAUGAGUGCUAAGUGUUGGAGGGUUUCCGCCCUUCAGUGCUGCAGCAAACGCAUUAAGCACUCCGCCUGGGGAGUACGACCGCAAGGUUGAAACUCAAAGGAUUUGACGGGGGCCCGCACAAGCGGUGGAGCAUGUGGUUUAAUUCGAAGCAACGCGAAGAACCUUACCAGGUCUUGACAUCCUUUKACCACUCUAGAGAUASAGCUUUCCCUUCGGGGAMAARUGACAGGUGGUGCAUGGUUGUCGUCAGCUCGUGUCGUGARAUGUGGGUAAGUCCGCACGAGCGCAACCCUUAUUGUAGUUGC
rnacentral:rRNA from 1 species